rnacentral:lncRNA from 1 species
CUCCCUGUAGAGUUUUACCCCCUGCUCCUCUGGCCGCCCUCCAGAUGGAUCUUUGUGUUGCCAGGCAGGAAUGGGCUGCUUGGGGACCCAGUGAGCUCCGAGGGCCUUUCUGCUGCUUCCUGUACCCCUGUAUUUCGCUCAGCUCUCCGACUUGACUCAGCUCCAGGAGGAAUCUGCAUAGAUUAGAGGAAAAAGUUAAAAGGAGUAUGAAUGAAAAAACUACGUGUACAAGAUGUCCAAGAUGAACAAAACUAUACAAUAAAGUUCAUUUCAAUAUACAACAUGUAUUAUAUUCAACAAGGCUCAAAUUUUUUGUAUUAUAUUCAACAUGUAUUAUAUUCAACAUGUAUUAUAUUCAACAUGUAUUAUAUUCAACAAGGCUCAAAUUUUUUGAUAAAAGGAAAUAGACACCUCUUUUUCUAGCAGGAAGAUAUUUUUCUUGGGAAGUUUUGUUUAUGCUGGCUUGAAUAACACUAUGAAAUAUUCUUUCAUUAAUAUUACAUGCUUAUGGAACUUUACCUAACUUUACCUUUACCAUUAAAAGCAUCUACCCCUGGAGAAAGAGCCCAAUGAGAAGUAAUCUCUGAAGCCCAGAUUUCCUAAGGAUGAAGCUUCAGGAGAGGUCUUAUCAAU